rnacentral:rRNA from 1 species
UGAGGAAUAUUGGGCAAUGCCCGAAAGGGUGACCCAGCAACGCCGCGUGGAGGAUGAAGGUCGUAAGGUUGUAAACUCCUGUUAGAGGGGAAGAAUAACUAAGUUUGGAGCUUAGUAUGACUGUACCCUCAGAGAAAGCCCCGGCUAACUACGUGCCAGCAGCCGCGGUAAUACGUAGGGGGCAAGCGUUGUCCGGAUUUACUGGGUGUAAAGGGCGCGCAGGCGGAAUGGAAAGUCAGUGGUGAAAUCCUACAGCUUAACUGUAGAACUGCCUUUGAUACUUUCAUUCUUGAGUUCGGGAGAGAGAGACGGAAUUCCAGGUGUAGUGGUGAAAUACGUAGAUAUCUGGAAGAACACCAGUUGCGGAGGCGGUCUCUUGGUCCGAUACUGACGCUGAGGCGCGAAAGCGUGGGGAGCAAACA